ACAAGAUAUCAUAAAUAUUUGCUUUCAUUCGACAAACCAUGAGCAAUUAAUAAAAACAAGAAUAAACUGCAUGAGCAUGAUCAUGGACUGUUGGCAUUUACCAGAUGCUGAUGAAACCAAACCGAGUUAGAGUCCAAUGCUCCUACAUACUUAAUAAUGGACAGAAACACGUGAACUACAGUUUGUGAAUGGUCCGAUUUCUAAAGCGCAUGUAAAGGCAUCACAUUACAUCAUUUUGUGGUCAUGCAGACUGUUUUCCUCUCAGUUGUUGACUCCUCCAGCUGGCCAGAUGUGGAUUCCCAGCCACAGAGCUUGGAGGACUCCUGGAGGCUGCGUGUCACCGCCGCGCAGGUUUACUCCAUCAUGAAGAGCAGAGACAUGCAGAACUUUGAGAAAGUCUUGGGCUUUCUGGAAACCACUCACAAGCUUUUACCCCGACUGGUGCCAGCCAUCAAACACAUGAAGAUCGUGUUUGGUCUCAAAACCAUGGUCAUCAUGUGGAUGUUGAAGGAACACAAAGGAAUGGUUGAAACUGUGUCAAAAAUAAUGCAGUUCUUCCCAAAUAAACUCCCUCAAUACCAGGAUCAGUGUAGCCCACGAGAAAUGUUUGUCAUGAGAAAGAAUCACUUGGACUUUAGGAAUCUGGCUCAAGCUCUCGCUGUAGACAAAGAACGACUCGACGAUUACAUAAAGACUGAGAUGGAGCAGCAGUACGGAGAACACUACGCCCAGAAAGUGGAAGACAGGCUGCUGCUCUACCUCCACGAGCUGGAAGCUGUGUUGCCGGGGGAAACCUACAUCGAUAAGAUCAUGAGGAAAGAAAGUCCCGUGACGGAGGAAGAAAAGUUACUUUUGGAGGUAAUAACGUCAAACUCUGCUACAAUUGCAGCAACGCUGAGGAAUCUGCUGCACUGUGAUGUUGCUACCUGUCAUCCAGCCAGGAUUUCUGCAUCACCGGAAAACAGAAACCGAGCAGAAAGCUCAGAAGUCUCUGAGACACCUCUUUGUGGGAGUUCAUCUCUUCCUAAAUUUGGAGAAGGUGGACCUCCGUGUGAACGUCACCUGGAGGUCCUGAGAAGCAGCAAAGAGCCAGCAUGUGAGGCGUCUAGAAACAGUUUCCAUCUACUGGAGAGCAGAGGUGACUCCAGCGAUGGAGGACGACAGCAGCGGCAGCAGCAGCAGCAGCAGCAGGCUGAAGCUUCAGAGACGGUGGAGGAGGAGAGCAGAAACCAGACCAGCCCGCCUCAGUUCUGCUCUAAACACCAGCGAUGGGUGCAGAGCAUCCUGCGAGGAUGUCCAGAUGAAUGCUCAGAGGAGCUGCUGAACCAGAUCAAAGCCUCUUCAUCCCCUCUGCUGUUCCAGUCGUCCUCAUCCACCUCUUCAUCACAGGAUCUCACACCAUCUGACCUUGUUCCUUGUCCUCAACCAGCAGCUCAGGCGGCAAAACCCGAAAAAUGCGGAGAGGGUCUAAGGUCAGGAACAGAUGAAUCUCUGCCGCGGCCUUUCUCACCAGGAGGCGCCGCCCCGCCUACUCUACUGUUUCCAGUCAUCCGAUUGGUGGACAUCGCCCCCAUGGGGUCGAGCUGCUCUGCUCCUAAAUCUCAAACAUGGUCAGAGCAUUGUGUUGUGCCCAGCAGCAAAGGAUCGUCCAGUCCUCGGGCUCUCACUUCUCCACGCUCCACAGAACCUUUUCCACACAUGCACACUGCGGCGGUACCCCGGCCCGUUUCUGCUCCUGCCAGCCUUCAACCUGCAGCAAAAAAGACUUUUUCAAAACUGUCAAGGAAGUUCAGGCACGCGGCUAACACCGCCAGAUCAUCACAGACCAUAACAUUAAAGCCGUCUGAAGAUACUCCAAAGAGGACUAUUUCAGUAAAUUACCCACCUUCCUCUACGAGCUGUGAUGUUCCCUCAUCCUCACAUGUAGAUGUUCCUUCAAGGUUUGCUUCCAAAUCAUCCCAUUUUCCAUCAGCUAGUCCUUCCAAGCAGGAGCUUUUUUCUUCCAAGUUGUGCCAGGACGUUUUCCAGCAGAAACGUGACCGGCGUCACCGUCCGACUCGACGGACCAAUCGUUUUCCGCCAAGAUCCGUUCCGACCUCCUCACCCAUCUCCUCCGGCUCUGAAGCCACGCCUCACAGAAACCAACCGUCCAACCGGCUGCAGCCCGUCGUGGCUCUCACCAGACUGAGCACCGAGGAGUGUCGGCGACUGACCGCCGCGAAGCAAGGCAGCAGCGGCGAGGAGAAGACAGAUAUGCAAGAAAGCUCCGAUUCCUCGUUUGACGUGAACGCUCUUUACUCCACGGGUUCCUCCGACAGCGAAUGCAACGACUCGCUUCAUUCUGACCCCAGCUACAGGCCCCAUAAAAAAAAAGAAAGCUUUUUAAGACUAUGAGAGUGGGCGGAGUCUGAAUUAGUAGCCUUUCUCUGACAAAUUUAAAAAACUUUAUUUUAAACAUUAACCAUCAUUUAUUCUCUCAAUGAUUCAAAGGACCAGAGCAGUUGGUGGAUAAGCAUCAGCCAGAAUUGGAUUCUGUGCAACACAAGUAUUUGAAUUUUCAUUGUGAACAUGUGACACAAGCGGAAAAGCCACAAAGAACAAAGAUGACAUUUAUUUAUAUAAGAUCUACAUCGAAUUCUCAAAAUAAUGUAUUCCAAUUAAUUUGAAAUUCACAACUUAGUCAAAAUAUCCCAAAAUUUUCAUCUACAGCACAAUUGUGUGUUUUUAAGUUCCAGUGUUUAUAGCUCUUAAUAAUAUUGUAUUAUUGUUUGCAGUUUUUUUUUUGUAAUACUUGAUAACUGUAAUAUGUUCUUUAGGUGAAGGAGUAGGGAUGAUGUAUCACAGCCUGUUUUACAGUUUUUUUUUAAGUAAGAAGUUUGCAGAAAUGUUGGCUUCCAGCAAUAGAUUUAAUGGCGGAUUUUACAAGCACGGCUUAUUAAACAAACAACAACCAUGAAGCAGCUUCAAAUCCGGGUUAGACUGCAGUUUAAUGAGGCAAAGAAGACAAAUAUAUGUCUUUGUUAACCGCUGGUCAAACUGAUAGCUUUAUGAAUUAGAAUUUCAACAAACACGCCAAAGGUUUUUCAUGAACAUUUCUCAUAAAACCGCCUCCUGUGCCUUGUAGGCAUGAAUUAAUGAAGCAAAUGGCUUUGCUUUUAUGAAGGUGGUUUAGAAAUAUAGUGAUGUUUGCUAUUUUGUAGUUUAACUGCUGUCUGCUUCAGCAAACGGGAUAAAUUCCCUCUAAACUGAGAGAUCUGAAAGGACAGAUUAAAUGAUUUGCUCAUAUUUUGGGGAUUUUUAUGCUUGUUUCAUUUUAAGUUAAACAUUUGAAAUGUUUCUUAACAUUCCAGAGCUGAUAUUCCCGGUGUUUGUAAGAGUAAAAACUAUGAAAAAUAAAAAAUAUUACUGAGUUUCUUCUGUCUUUACGCACAAAAAUUUGAUUUAGCUUGACCUCCAUCCAUCCUUGCAUCCAUCUGUCCAUCUUUUCCUGCUCAUCUGGGGCCGGGUCACAGAGGCGGCAACCACUUCUAGCUCUUCUAACUCUUGAGCGGCUUUCAAUUAAGGAUUUUGUAGGACCUUUUAUUUAACACAACUUUGCAAAACUUAAGGAUUUG
ensembl:lncRNA